rnacentral:rRNA from 1 species
GUAGGUGGCAAGCGUUGUCCGGAAUUAUUGGGCGUAAAGCGCGCGCAGGUGGUUCUUUAAGUCUGAUGUGAAAGCCCCCGGGCUCAACCGGGGAGGGUCAUUGGAAACUGGGGAACUUGAGUGCAGGAGAGGAAAGUGGAAUUCCACGUGUAGCGGUGAAAUGCGUAGAUAUGUGGAGGAACACCAGUGGCGAAGGCGACUUUCUGGCCUGUAACUGACACUGAGGCGCGAAAGCGUGGGGAGCAAACAGGAUUAGAUACCCUGGUAGUCCACGCCGUAAACGAUGAGUGCUAAGUGUUGGGAGGUUUCCGCCCCUCAGUGCUGCAGCUAACGCAUUAAGCACUCCGCCUGGGGAGUACGGUCGCAAGACUG